UGAACGCUGGCGGCAUGCUUUACACAUGCAAGUCGGACGGCAGCACAGAGAAGCUUGCUUCUUGGGUGGCGAGUGGCGAACGGGUGAGUAAUAUAUCGGAACGUACCGAGCAGUGGGGGAUAACUAAUCGAAAGAUUAGCUAAUACCGCAUAUUCUCUGAGGAAGAAAGCAGGGGGCCAUUUGGCCUUGCGCUGCUUGAGCGGCCGAUAUCUGAUUAGCUGGUUGGUGGGGUAAAGGCCUACCAAGGCGACGAUCAGUAGCGGGUCUGAGAGGAUGAUCCGCCACACUGGGACUGAGACACGGCCCAGACUCCUACGGGAGGCAGCAGUGGGGAAUUUUGGACAAUGGGCGCAAGCCUGAUCCAGCCAUGCCGCGUGUCUGAAGAAGGCCUUCGGGUUGUAAAGGACUUUUGUCAGGGAAGAAAAGGAUAGGGUUAAUACCCCUGUCUGAUGACGGUACCUGAAGAAUAAGCACCGGCUAACUACGUGCCAGCAGCCGCGGUAAUACGUAGGGUGCGAGCGUUAAUCGGAAUUACUGGGCGUAAAGCGGGCGCAGACGGUUACUUAAGCAGGAUGUGAAAUCCCCGGGCUCAACCUGGGAACUGCGUUCUGAACUGGGUGACUAGAGUGUGCCAGAGGGAGGUAGAAUUCCACGUGUAGCAGUGAAAUGCGUAGAGAUGUGGAGGAAUACCGAUGGCGAAGGCAGCCUCCUGGGAUAACACUGACGUUCAUGCCCGAAAGCGUGGGUAGCAAACAGGAUUAGAUAUCCUGGUAGUCCACGCCCUAAACGAUGUCGAUUAGCUGUUGGG
rnacentral:rRNA from 1 species